rnacentral:tRNA from 1 species
GGGACGUUAGCUCAGCUGGUAGAGCAGCGGACUUUUAAUCCGUUGGUCGCAGGUUCGAAUCCUGCACGUCCCACCA